GGUGCCCCUUGGGCACAAAUAGAAGACAAUGGCAACAUAUUCUCAUCUGAUUGAAGAGAAGAACAAUGCAUGCAGAUAUCUGGGAAGAAAGAGUUACAUUAGACAAAGCAGAAAAUGCAACAACUUGGAGGUAGCUGCCUGAUGUGAAUUUGAGGAGUAACAAGGAAUCCAGGCUGCUGAAAAUGAAAGGACAAGGUGGACGGUGGUCAGAAUGAUGUCAGACAAGUGGCCUGGGUCAGAUCUCAUAAAGCUUGUAAGUCACGAAAAACCCAAACUACUGAAAGGUAAAUUUCACCAUCAGUAAAUGACAACUAUCUGACCUUCUAAAACAAAACUACUGCUGUGAUAAGCGAAUUGGGAGAACUCCUGUUUUUUCCAUAUAAAAUUCCAGUCUGUACAGAUCUCACUGAAGUCUAACCCAGCCUCUGCUUCAAGUCUACGCUGCUGUAUUCUUUGAUGGGGUGGAGUGGCUCCCAUGCUGGUCUGUAUGGGGAAGUGGUGAGAUGGGCUCUUCUGAACGUGACUACACACAAGGUGACAUGAUUGGUCCCUCUACUUUGAACUAUUUCCUAAAUCAAUGCACAGAGAGCGGUAAACUUUGUUAAAUUUGUGUUCUGCUAUUGUCUCAAAAUCAUCCCUCUUCAUUCAUCUAGAGACUCCUAACUGGGUCAAUUAAGGUUUCACUUAAGUCUAACCUAAAUCUCACAUGCUAUAAGGCAAGCUAUUUUCUUUUCCUUUUUCUCUUUCAUGAUCAGUUUCUUGAAUAUUAUUAGGUGUAUUAGUCAGGGCUCUCCAGAGAAACAGAACAGAG
rnacentral:lncRNA from 1 species